rnacentral:misc_RNA from 1 species
UGGGCUCGAAGCGCAGUGGACCGGGGUAGAAAUACCCCUUUUCGCAAGAACUGCUGUGGAGGUGCUGCAUGGCUGUCGUCAGCUCGUGUCGUGAGAUGUUGGGUUAAGUCCCGCAACGAGCGCAACCCUUAUCGUUAGUUGCCAGCGGGUCAAGCCGGGCACUCUAGCGAAACCGCCCCGGAUAACGGGGAGGAAGGUGGGGAUGACGUG